CUUCAGGUGAAACGAGUCUGUAGGUUCAGUCUGCUGCUGGGAAACCCGCUGCUGGAUCUGGCAGGACGUCCCAGUGCUCCCAGUGCUCCCAGUCUUUGUUGCUGCUCGGUGGUGUGAGAUAAUGUUCCCACAGAGGAGGGUCUGGCUCUCUUUCUGCUUUAGAGCUUCAGGAUCAGAUGGAGUGAAACUUUUAGAGCGAUUUGUUUCCUCGUCUGCAUCGGCUCCUUGUUCCAUCUUGUCUUUGUUUUCUCUGCUUCAUCUCCAGGCAGUGACUGAAGUAUUCAGCCAUCAGUACCAGCGCUCCACUGGUCCCAGUGUUACCAGUUACAGCAGCAUGUGGCUCUGAAAUGGGAACUAAAAGCAGCGUUGUGUUGUGUCAGGUUUUCCUCCUGUGGCUAUAAAUAGAGCAGAGAUCCUGUCUGGGUGUGAUGGGCGGCGAGGUGUUGAUGGACUCAGAGUUUGGAGCCUGAAGCUCAGUCAGACGAUGAAAACCUGAAGCUGCGAAGCUGAAAACCUGAAGGAUUUUCAGGCUCAUAUUCAUUUCUUCAGGAGGCUGAAUGUGAAUCUCCUGGAUCUCCAUCAAACUGAACCGUUUCCUUCUUGUCAGGCGAAUUUGAGGCACUGCUCAAAAAAUGACAAAUGCAAGCAACUGUUUCUAUGAAUAUUUAUUAAAACAAUGAAAUUAAAGCAG